AUUGAACGCUGGCGGCAGGCCUAACACAUGCAAGUCGAGCGAGCGGCGGAGGGGGGAGAAAUGUGUGGGAAAAUGCCUGUUGGAGGGGGAGAACUACUGGAAAAAGUAGCUAAUACCGCAUAUCACAAGAUGUGCGCAGAUGGGAGUAGCGAGUAGGUGGGGUAAAGGCUCACCUAGGCGACGAUCCCUAGCUGGUCUGAGAGGAUGACCAGCCACACUGGAACUGAGACACGGUCCAGACUCCUACGGGAGGCAGCAGUGGGGAAUAUUGCACAAUGGGCGCAAGCCUGAUGCAGCCAUGCCGCGUGUGUGAAGAAGGCCUUCGGGUUGUAAAGCACUUUCAGCGGGGAGGCGUUACCCGCAGAAGAAGCACCGGCUAACUCCGUGCCAGCAGCCGCGGUAAUAC
rnacentral:rRNA from 1 species